rnacentral:rRNA from 1 species
GCUAAAGACGGGUCAGCUGCCGGUGUAAGAUUAGUGUCGCAAGGUGUAUCCGGAUUGAUUGUGCGUAAAGCGAGCGCAGGCGGUGAGUUAAGUCUGAUGUGAAAGGCUACGGCUCAACCGUAGAAUUGCAUCGGAAACUGGAUGACUUGAGGGCAGUAGAGGAGAGUGUAACUCCAUGUGUAGCGGUGAAAUGCGUAGAUAUAUGGAAGAACACCAGAGGCGAAGGCGGCUCUCUGGACUGUAACUGACGCUGAGGCUCGAAAGUGUGGGUAGCAAACAGGAUUAGAUACCCUAGUAGUC